rnacentral:rRNA from 1 species
GGACUACCCGGGUUUCUAAUCCUGUUCGCUCCCCACGCUUUCGCGUCUCAGCGUCAGUACCGUCCCAGAGAGCCGCCUUCGCCACGGGUGUUCUUCCCGAUAUCUGCGCAUUUCACCGCUACACCGGGAAUUCCACUCUCCUCUUCCGGACUCUAGCCUUACGGUUUCAACCGACGUCUCGAGGUUGAGCCUCGAGUUUUCACAGCUGACCUGUAAGGCCGCCUACACGCUCUUUACGCCCAAUAAAUCCGGACAACGCUUGCCCCCUACGUAUUACCGCGGCUGCUGGCAC